GACGAACGCUGGCGGCGUGCUUAACACAUGCAAGUCGAACGAUGAAGCCGGAGCUUGCUCUGGUGAAUUAGUGGCGAACGGGUGAGUAACACGUGAGUAACCUGCCCUUGACUCUGGGAUAACUGCUAGAAAUGGUAGCUAAUACCGGAUACGACCCUCGGAGGCAUCUCCAGGGGGUGGAAAGAAUUUCGGUCAAGGAUGGACUCGCGGCCUAUCAGCUAGUUGGUGAGGUAAUGGCUCACCAAGGCGACGACGGGUAGCCGGCCUGAGAGGGUGACCGGCCACACUGGGACUGAGACACGGCGCAGACUCCUACGGGAGGCAGCGGUGGAGAAUAUUGCACAAUGGGCGCAAGCCUGAUGCAGCAACGCCGCGUGAGGGAUGACGGCCUUCGGGUUGUAAACCUCUUUUAGCAGGGAAGAAGCGAAAGUGACGGUACCUGCAGAAAAAGCACCGGCUAACUACGUGCCAGCAGCCGCCGUAA
rnacentral:rRNA from 1 species